GUCUACGGCCAGGUCACCCUGAACAAGCCUGAUGUCUGAUCUCAAAAGCUAAGCAGGGUCGGGCCUAGAUGGGAGACCACCUAGGAAGACCGGGUGCUGUAGGCA
rnacentral:rRNA from 1 species